AUUACUGAGUAAUUGCUUUGCUUAUUGCAUGCUAAUUGCUGAAAAUUGCUUUUUAUUUUAAAUUCCUUAGCUAAAAAUUGCUUUUUCUUUCACAUUUCUCUGCUUAUUGAAUGACUAUUGCUAACUCAUUAGAUAGAACCUACUUCUCAUAUAAGUAGGUGGAUGCGGCCUCGAUUAGCGGGGGAACCACAUGAAAAAAAGCGAGCUACUGGGUGUACCUCCUGGGUAGUUUGGAAAUCACCUAAUAUAUAUAUGUAUAUAUUUAUAAAUAAAAGUUAAUAUAAUUAUAUAAAUUAACAUUAUUAUUUUUUUUAACAGGAAAUGCACAAUGCUAAAAACUGCGUAGGAGAUUUUAAUACAAUAGUACUACCAAGCCUGAUGUUGGCCGCUAUUUCAAUGAAUGCAGCAGUGUGACAGCUAGCAAUCAAAAGUAACAAGAUAUCGAGGAAAUGCAGAUGGCAAUAAACUGUGUAGGAGUUCAUGAUUGCAAUAGAAUAAAAUCGACCAAGCCUGAAGUCAGCAGCCCCUUCAAUGAAUGCAGCAGUGUGACAGCCAACAAUCAAAAGUUACAAGAAGAUAUCGAGGAAAUGCAGAAGGCAAAAAACUGCAUAGGAGAUCAUUAAUACAAUAGUAUUAUAUAAACCAAGCCUGAUGUUGGCCGCUCAUUCAAAGAAUGCAGCAGUGUGACAGCCAGCAAUCAAAAGUAACAAGAUGUCGAGAAAAUGCAGAGUGUAAUAAACUGUGUAGGAGAUUAUGAUUGCAAUAGAAUAAAAUCGACCAAGCCUGAAGUCCUUCAAUGCACGCAGCAGUGUGACAGCCAGCAAUCAAAAGUUACAAGAUAUCGAGGAAAUGCAGAAGGCAAAGAACUGCGUAGGAGAUUAUUAAUACAAUAGUAUUAUAUCAACCAAGCCUGAUGUCGGUAGCUUCUUCAAUGAAUGCAGCAGUGUGACAGCCAGCAAUCAAUAGUGACAAGAAUUUAGGAAAUACAGAAGGCAAAGAAGCAGAUGUCAUCAAAGAAGAUCUUUGUUCCUGCAAUGUUUCCGCAGACGAUACAUCCAACAGAGCGAAGUGGAAGGAAAAGACUCGGAAAAAAGACCCCACCACCAUAUGGGAACAAUGCAAGGGAGAGAGAGAGAAUAUAA